rnacentral:tRNA from 1 species
GCUCGUGUAGCUCAGUGGUUAGAGCUUCGUGCUUAUAGCACACUCCUUAAAAAGGAGCAUCCUAUGCCUAUGAUCUUUAAAUCUAGAUCGGUAAAGCAACGCGACCGUCGUGGGUUCAAACCCCACCUCGAGCA